AGCAAUACCGCACUGAUAUGGGUAUGGAUCCGAAGCCUCUCGAAUAUAGGCACUCCAUACCCUACUCCGACUCAAUACGUCCACGGCGUACAGAAUGGUAACAUAUCUCUCCAAAAACUCCUUGGGAAGAUCGGUUGUAUCGCUAAACUGAACGGA
rnacentral:ribozyme from 1 species